rnacentral:lncRNA from 1 species
AGGGGAAAACAUUUUCACAAACGAUCACGAAGCGCGCGCUUGAUUGUGGAUCCGCGCCCGCCGUAUUGUGCGCGAUUUUAUUAUAUAUUUCCCGACGCGUUCGCGCAUCGCUUAUCGCAUCUUCGCGAGCGAAACCGAGGGCUUUCGACCGACCUGCGUACUGCACUGGAUGCACGCAAUAAACGCGACGGCCGUCGUUUAUCUCGAGCGCGUUAACGCACCUCGCGUAGUGCGCUACUCGCCGCUCGCGGCGACGGUUACAUCGCGCGGAAAAGCUUGGGAGAUCGAUACGCCGAUCUCCGUGACCGCGAUCGUCGGAUCGAAUAGCCGAUCGAUCGCGGAUCGAUCCGUGCGCGUGCUCUCGCGUCAGAUUUCCGACGAAAGACACGUCUGGACGCUGUAAUCGGAGCUGAAAGCCACGCCAAUUCCGAAAGGGGAAGGCAGAGUUACAAGAGCGGAGAACAAUGCUGUCGCAACGUCGCGUCGCGUCGCGUCAUCGACUUGUUCACGGUAUCGCGUGUAAUUAGCGCGUGAAUGCAUUAAUGAUUUCUCGAAGUCAUUGACGAUCCAGACCGUUGAUCAUUAACCGGUGAUCUCUCUCGCGAUCAGGUGAAAUUGAAUAUAAACGCUCUUUCCCGUUCGUGAAACGCGUCUCGUGAGAAACUCAAUUUGAUGACGCUAUUGGAAAAGCGGGAAAUCAACGUACAGUUCGACUUCCCGAGUAGUUAUUGGCCAUUGAAAGACUCGCGACGGAUGCGUCUGAGGACCGGAAGAAGAUGCGCUAAUUAACUGCGAUCUCGGCCCAGUGUCGUCUCGUGGAAAUCGCCAAGUGACGCUGCCACGCUCGGUGGACGGAAUGAACGCCGGGACGGAAUAAAUCAUCGAGAAGUGCGUACUCGUGGGGAUGCAUUACAUGCAUUACCUCAAGGGGAUCUCCGUCGUCAAGCCAGGGUCGAUCGGGCAAAAUAAUGCGAUCGAAGCGCAUCAAGGAGGCGACGCUGUUCAGAUUGCUCAGAUACAGGCAGUGCGCCAGGUGCCGGAAGAUAACUUAGCGUACCCGAGAGCAUCCCGGGCGAUAGAUCGACCGGAGCAAAGGGGCUAGGAGCUAGGAGCACAUACAUACGAGAGCACAUGAGACUGAUCGCGAUCGCGGCAACGAUCGACGAGCGUAAUUUCACUCUAUUGGCUGUGAUUUUUACCCCUAGAUCCCGAUUUCCAGAGGCUCGACGCGUGAAAAUCGCCAAGACUGAAGAUCGAGGUAGACUGCUCAGUGAUCUCUUCGCCGAGAGACACGUAGGCCUGGAAUAUUGUAUUCCGCGACGUAAGUUGUGACGUCAUCCGCCGUCGGCGGACUACAUACGUACAUAUAUAAAAUCGAUAGACGUUAUGUCGUUAGUAUAAAACGUUAAUUACUAUCUAAGUGUUGCCGGUAACCCUCUAAGAUCAACUCGCGAGAGAAUAAUUAAGGCGAACGGAUCUCUCUCUUCGCCAGGCGCGUCGCGGGAAAGGAGAAUUCGUUGCUCUUCUCGGCGUUUAUUAGCGCCGUCGUAGGACGCGCAUCAGUUGCAUACAGACGAGACUUUCCCUUCACGAAGCCGGCAAGAUGCACGUGCGAAGCUCGUUUUUGCACCGUCGGGUAACAAUCACGCACAUCCGGAAAGCAACGCGAGCAAAACAUGAGCCCGUUUAUAUCGGAAAUACGUUCAUCUAACGAACUUGAUUGCGCCACAGUUUGCGACUAAUCACUUGAAGGCUCGCCUUUCGAUUAUCUCGCGUCGUUCUCGCUUGCCUCGUCGAUGGUCGACCGGUUGCUGAAAAUUGAGAAAUUCCAAAGAGAGACGAACCCUCACAAGAUGAUCGCGCGAGGAUUUGGAGGAGAUUUACGAUAACUUUGGCCGCGCCGAAUGGAAAAAACGAAGCACUUACUUGGAGCAUUGCCCAAUCCUGAAAAGGAAGAAUCGCCGAUAUUGGGAAAUUUGAGUGGCACUCGGGGAUUGUCCAAUAGUCGGGCCAGGUUAAAAUUAUUUCGUCGCAUCGAUAGAAAGAGAUCGCGUUUCGUCGUUAUAAUGCUAUUUGGUAUCUCGAUGAGAUCGAAAAGAUUCGCGAAACUUUGAGAUGCUUUGUAUCCAGAUAACGGGAUCGAGGUAAAAUAACAAUUAAAAAGUGCAGGCAGUCGAGAGGAAAUAUUAGAAGAGAUAACGGAAGGGGGAAGGGGAAGAGUUAUUACUCGCGAGCGAGCGAGCAUUUUAAAUGUUUGGAUUGAAAGGGAGGAAAAUCGAGCAACGAAAAAA